AGCUUGCUUCUCUGAUGUUAGCGGCGGACGGGUGAGUAACACGUGGAUAACCUACCUAUAAGACUGGGAUAACUUCGGGAAACCGGAGCUAAUACCGGAUAAUAUUUUGAACCGCAUGGUUCAAAAGUGAAAGACGGUCUUGCUGUCACUUAUAGAUGGAUCCGCGCUGCAUUAGCUAGUUGGUAAGGUAACGGCUUACCAAGGCAACGAUGCAUAGCCGACCUGAGAGGGUGAUCGGCCACACUGGAACUGAGACACGGUCCAGACUCCUACGGGAGGCAGCAGUAGGGAAUCUUCCGCAAUGGGCGAAAGCCUGACGGAGCAACGCCGCGUGAGUGAUGAAGGUCUUCGGAUCGUAAAACUCUGUUAUUAGGGAAGAACAUAUGUGUAAGUAACUGUGCACAUCUUGACGGUACCUAAUCAGAAAGCCACGGCUAACUACGUGCCAGCAGCCGCGGUAAUACGUAGGUGGCAAGCGUUAUCCGGAAUUAUUGGGCGUAAAGCGCGCGUAGGCGGUUUUUUAAGUCUGAUGUGAAAGCCCACGGCUCAACCGUGGAGGGUCAUUGGAAACUGGAAAACUUGAGUGCAGAAGAGGAAAGUGGAAUUCCAUGUGUAGCGGUGAAAUGCGCAGAGAUAUGGAGGAACACCAGUGGCGAAGGCGACUUUCUGGUCUGUAACUGACGCUGAUGUGCGAAAGCGUGGGGAUCAAACAGGAUUAGAUACCCUGGUAGUCCACGCCGUAAACGAUGAGUGCUAAGUGUUAGGGGGUUUUCGCCCCUUAGUGCUGCAGCUAACGCAUUAAGCACUCCGCCUGGGGAGUACGACC
rnacentral:rRNA from 1 species